rnacentral:tmRNA from 1 species
GGGGGCGUACCGGUUUCGACGGGGACGCGGAAGCAGGAAUAGCGGGCGGUGGCGUCCGGCCACCUUAAAACGGACAUUCUUUAUAAAUUAAAGAACAACGAUAAUUACGCUUACGCUGCCUAAUUAAAGGCGGCCGUCUGACCGGGAGAGACCACGGACCCGGCUCAGGCGUCGUUACGUGGUGAACGUGCGCCGGCAAAGCUUUGCGCCGGCCAUGAAUCAUGAAGCUUACCCAACCAGCAGGCGUGACGGCUUGCCUGACGGGAGGGGAACAGGGCGGGAGAGCCGCCCGGAAUAACCGUCUGCGCCCGGAGAGGUUCCUGUGGAAGAGUUUUCGGACGGGGGUUCAACUCCCCCCGCCUCCACCA